rnacentral:rRNA from 1 species
AUGAACGCUAGCUACAGGCUUAACACAUGCAAGUCGAGGGGCAGCAUUUUAGUUUGCUUGCAAACUGAAGAUGGCGACCGGCGCACGGGUGAGUAACACGUAUCCAACCUGCCGAUAACUCCGGAAUAGCCUUUCGAAAGAAAGAUUAAUACCGGAUGGCAUACGAAUAUCGCAUGAUAUUUUUAUUAAAGAAUUUCGGUUAUCGAUGGGGAUGCGUUCCAUUAGUUUGUUGGCGGGGUAACGGCCCACCAAGACUACGAUGGAUAGGGGUUCUGAGAGGAAGGUCCCCCACAUUGGAACUGAGACACGGUCCAAACUCCUACGGGAGGCAGCAGUGAGGAAUAUUGGUCAAUGGGCGCGAGCCUGAACCAGCCAAGUAGCGUGAAGGAUGAAGGCUCUAUGGGUCGUAAACUUCUUUUAUAUGGGAAUAAAGUUUUCCACGUGUGGAAUUUUGUAUGUACCAUAUGAAUAAGGAUCGGCUAACUCCGUGCCAGCAGCCGCGGUAAUACGGAGGAUCCGAGCGUUAUCCGGAUUUAUUGGGUUUAAAGGGAGCGUAGGUGGAUUGUUAAGUCAGUUGUGAAAGUUUGCGGCUCAACCGUAAAAUUGCAGUUGAAACUGGCAGUCUUGAGUACAGUAGAGGUGGGCGGAAUUCGUGGUGUAGCGGUGAAAUGCUUAGAUAUCACGAAGAACUCCGAUUGCGAAGGCAGCUCACUAGACUGUCACUGACACUGAUGCUCGAAAGUGUGGGUAUCAAACAGGAUUAGAUACCCUGGUAGUCCACACAGUAAACGAUGAAUACUCGCUGUUUGCGAUAUACAGUAAGCGGCCAAGCGAAAGCAUUAAGUAUUCCACCUGGGGAGUACGCCGGCAACGGUGAAACUCAAAGGAAUUGACGGGGGCCCGCACAAGCAGCGGAGCAUGUGGUUUAAUUCGAUGCAACGCGAAGAACCUUACCUGGUCUUGACAUCCACGGAAGUUUUCAGAGAUGAGAAUGUGCCUUCGGGAACCGUGAGACAGGUGCUGCAUGGCUGUCGUCAGCUCGUGUUGUGAAAUGUUGGGUUAAGUCCCGCAACGAGCGCAACCCUUAUCAUUAGUUGCUACGCAAGAGCACUCUAAUGAGACUGCCGUUGAUAAAACGGAGGAAGGUGGGGAUGACGUCAAAUCAGCACGGCCCUUACGUCUGGGGCUACACACGUGUUACAAUGGGGGGUACAGAAGGCGGCUACCUGGUGACAGGAUGCUAAUCCCAAAAACCUCUCUCAGUUCGGAUCGAAGUCUGCAACCCGACUUCGUGAAGCUGGAUUCGCUAGUAAUCGCGCAUCAGCCACGGCGCGGUGAAUACGUUCCCGGGCCUUGUACACACCGCCCGUCACACCAUGGGAGUCGGUAACACCCGAAGUCAGUAGCCUAACCGCAAGGAGGGCGCUGCCGAAGGUGGGAUUGAUGACUGGGGUG